GCCCCUGUGGCCUAAUGGAUAAGGCAUCGGUUACCUAAACCGGGGGUUGUGGGUUCGAGUCCCACCAGGGGUA